rnacentral:rRNA from 1 species
UACGUAGGGCGCAAGCGUUAUCCGGAAUUAUUGGGCGUAAAGAGCUCGUAGGUGGCUUGUCGCGUCUGCCGUGAAAGCCCGUGGCUUAACUACGGGUCUGCGGUGGAUACGGGCAGGCUAGAGGCUGGUAGGGGCAAGCGGAAUUCCUGGUGUAGCGGUGAAAUGCGCAGAUAUCAGGAGGAACACCGGUGGCGAAGGCGGCUUGCUGGGCCAGUUCUGACGCUGAGGAGCGAAAGCGUGGGGAGCGAACAGG